CUGACACAACAAAGUAAAAUGUACUUGGGUAAUACGAGUAAAACCUGGCAACCUAUAGCGCGUACUCAGAGGGUGACGUCAGAGGAGAUUUCGCGCUCCUUUCUUCAACGAGACGACGGAACAGCAGAACCUGAACAAGGACGGCAGCGUUUCACCUGAGGAGAGGAACUUCAUGGACGGGAGCCAUUGGGAAUAUUAAAGGACGUUCACUCUCAGCAGGUUGACAUCAACAGUUGACACAAGAUCAAUGAGUUCAGAAGAAUAACCACAGUUCAUCUGGAGCGAAACCUUUUGUUGAAAUUGGACAAUUGCACUACCAACUUUCUUGAGAUACUUGGGACAAAGGGCGGAGUUGCAGGAACAAAGACCCAUGCUGGAAUCACCCAGCCUGGUAAAGUUUAGAUAUCUAAUAUUAUAUAAAAUUAUGUUGGGCUCAUAUACACUGAGAAUAGAUGCAUAAUGACGCAUUUGAACACAUUCAAUAUUUUUGUUUGUUUCUCCCACUAUUGUCAUUUUUUGAGAACACAUCAGACUCG